GUAGAUAGUUCAGUUGGUUAGAGUGUGGUACUGAUAACACCAAUGUUGCUGGUUCAAUCCCUGUGUAGGACAGCUGCA